rnacentral:rRNA from 1 species
GCCUACGGGGCGCAGCAGUAGGGAAUCUUCCACAAUGGACGAAAGUCUGAUGGAGCAACGCCGCGUGAGUGAAGAAGGGUUUCGGCUCGUAAAGCUCUGUUGGUAGUGAAGAAAGAUAGAGGGAGUAACUGGCCUUUAUUUGACGGUAAUUACUUAGAAAGUCACGGCUAACUACGUGCCAGCAGCCGCGGGAAUAAGUAGGUGGCAAGCGUUGUCCGGAUUUAUUGGGCGGAAAGCGAGGG